rnacentral:lncRNA from 1 species
UAAAAAGCAGCUCAUCCCUUACAGCACUGGAGCAGAUAGGUGGUGGAGAUAUUGUUGGUGGUCAACAUCAGUCUGUGACUUGAGUUUAUAAAAAGGAAAGUAGAAGUGUUGCAGACCCUUGUUGGUUAGAGUGUAAAGCAGAAGUCCAGCUAGAGUGGGGGCGGCAAAUGCCCAGCAAGAGAGGGCUGUAGCAGAACUGACUGAACAAGCAAUUCUGGAUGUCCCAGUGGCUGUGCUCCUUGGAUGGCAUGGAAAGGGUUGAGUCCGUCGCUCCUUUCCCUUAUUGCAAAUGCAGGCUGUUGGUCCGCCUGUCUGUGAAGGAGAAGGCAGGCACUACUUGUUUGCAUCAGUGGUGUCUUUGCCAACUCUUGUGCAGAAGGAUUUUGAGAGUUUUAAAUUUCAAACAGAGAAAGGGGGAAAAAGAAUCCUAAAUGUGCUAUUUGUAGCUAAAGCCAGUUCGUACUAGAAUAAAAGGCUUUCCCUUCUUUGAAAAUGGUAAAUGGGCAGUGGAUCUAUAAAAUUUGUCUUCUCUAGGGCCCAUCACUGGACCUCUCCCUCUAAGGCCAGGCUGUGUAAGGUGCAUUAUCUUAAAAGAAAGUGGUGACAGGAUGUCUUCUUGUAUAUCAUCUUCGUCUUAUAUAUGUGACAAGCCAAAUCACAAUCUCUGUUACAGUAAGAGGGAGCGAAAAGUCACGUGUCUAUGUAUUUUCGGAUCGAGAAUGUGAUGCGGUUACCUAACAACCAUUGGAACUAAUUAUCUAUUGUGGCUGAUUUGAUAAUCCUCCUCCUCUUCUUUUUCUUGGGAUGGGCAUGGAGGCAAGGUAUGUAGAGUCUAUCUUUGUUGCGUCUUCUGCUAAAGUGGGACUGGAGUUUUUUGUUACGUCUCACUCAACAGUAUGCCUCUCUGCAUUCUUCAUAGUUUGGGAAUGGAGGAAGAGGGUGGAGUGUUUGCACUUGUAGUCUCUUCUCCUGAAAGGGGUAAAGGAGACAUGGUGGUUUGGGUUGGUGAGGAACCCCUCACAGGUUAUUGAAGUGGGAUGCGUAUCUGCUUGUGGUGAAUUAGUUUUGUGUGAAGUGGAGGUGUCCACAAAGUUUGACAAAGGGGAAUUAUUUGAUUGGGGGCGAGUAAAAUCAUAAGUUGCAUAAAUCAAUUGGGGUGGAGUUCUAAGUGUUUAAAAGACUUCUGAUCCAUUUAGAGUCACUGAGGCUAGGUGGAAGAAGAGAAUCUUUGCCAGUUAUCAUCCCAGAUCACUUUUUAGUGAAGGAAUAAUGAAAUGAGGGAUGAGAUCACUUUUUAGGGAAGAAAUAAUGAAAUUAGGGCCAUUACAGCUUAGGCGUAGAUAGGAGGAAGUAUCUAGAACACUUGUUAUUCGGAAAUUUAUUAGAGACAGCUGCUAAUAGAGGAUUAGAGCCACCAAUUCGCCUUGGUCCUUGAUGUUUUUGAGAGGCCUUUCAGGAGCACUU